UACGAGGGGGGCAAGCGUUGUUCGGAAUUAUUGGGCGUAAAGGGCGCGUAGGCGGUGCGGUAAGUCACCUGUGAAAACUCUGGGCUCAACUCAGAGCCUGCAGGCGAAACUGCCGUGCUGGAGUGUGGGAGAGGUGCGUGGAAUUCUCGGUGUAGCGGUGAAAUGCGUAGAUAUCGGAAGGAACACCAGUGGCGAAAGCGGCUUCCUGGUCCAGCACCGACGUUCAGGCACGAAAGCGUGGGAGCAAACAGG
rnacentral:rRNA from 1 species